GAAGUGUGCAGCCAAAGACAGCAGAAGGGCUGGCAGUCUGCUGCGAUGAUUCAGGCAGGAGGACAGCAGGAGCAAUGGCCCUGAGGCAGGAAGAAGACCAUCUGUUUUGAUGAAUUAAGAGAGCAACUGCAGGUGACGUCUAGAGCCCUCAGAAGAGAGUGGCUUCCACAGGCAGGUGAGGGGAAAGGAGCCAUGUCACUCAAGGCCUCCAGGGCAGGUAAGAACUUUAGUCUUUAUCUCAAGUCAUCUUGGAUGCACUGAAGGGUUUUAAGCGAAAAAGUGAAUUAAUUAGAUCGGCAUUUUUGAAAGCUCACUGAGCAGCAAUGUUGGAAAAGUUGGAAGCAAAUAAAUCGAUUAGGAAACUGUGAUGGCUCCUCAUCUCUUCUUCAGUUUUCCACCUACAUUAUUUACAUAACUGCGUUUGUCUUGAUGCAGUCUCAACUCUGUAUUUCUCAUUCCAGAAAACCAAGCUGAAUAUUUUCCUCUUAGUUCCUGACUCUAAGGAAGGAAGUAGAGUCCAGAGGUCUGUGGCCUGGAAUGAAAAGAAGUGAAAUGCAAACUCAGUACCCCAUACACAGAACCUCCUAUCUCCUGGCUACUAUUAAGUGCUGCAGUGUCAGCAACGAUCAUGUAAAUUCACCUAGGUUUCCAAUGUUGAUUUAUCCAGCACAGACCUUGGGAACAGCAUGAUUGAUCCUCAGCUUCACCUCUGAGUCAUCUCACUGUGCCCAGCGUGAUGCUUGUUAUUAGUUGAGUCAUUUGGAUGGAUGCUGACAAUUUACUAUGCCUUAGGCAGAGAGGAUGCCCUAAGAUAACCAGAUUUUGACCGUGGAGAGCCAGUAGUGGAGCCGGGAGCAGGUUACUACAGGCACUAAUGUUGUCCUAGCAGCCAUCACAAAGAAGAUGUGUCCUGGGAAAGUCAGAGCCGGUCCUGAGAGCCAAGACUGCAUCACACACAUUAAGGGAGACACUCCUGCAAACCCCUUCAUCCCCAAAUGUUACAUAAACUGGGUCGGAAUUUGCUGAGAUUCUGUUGAGUUUUCUACAACAGUGAAGAAAAUUUCAAUAAUUGAUAAUUGAUAAU